CCUACGGGAAGCAGCAGUGGGGAAUAUUGGGCAAUGGGCGCAAGCCUGACCCAGCAACGCCGCGUGAAGGAAGAAGGCCCUCGGGUUGUAAACUUCUUUUAUCAAGGACGAAACAAAUGACGGUACUUGAUGAAUAAGCCACGGCUAACUACGUGCCAGCAGCCGCGGUAAUACGUAGGUGGCAAGCGUUAUCCGGAUUUACUGGGUGUAAAGGGCGGGUAGGCGGGGCUGCAAGUCAGAUGUGAAAACCAUGGGCUCAACCCAUGGCCUGCAUUUGAAACUGGAGUUCUUGAGUGUUGGAGAGGCAGGCGGAAUUCCGUGUGUAGCGGUGAAAUGCGUAGAUAUACGGAGGAACACCAGUGGCGAAGGCAGCUCACUGGACUGCAACUGACACUGAGGCUCGAAAGUGUGGGUAUCAAACAGGAUUAGAUACCCUUGUAGUC
rnacentral:rRNA from 1 species